GCAACACAGGAUUGCCAUUUGUACCAAGUGUGUAAACAUCCUACUGGAGAAAGAGAGUUCAGUUUUUUUUGUUCUAUUCAGGCUUCCACUGAUAGGAUGAGGUCUACCUACAUCAUCCACCUACUAUGGAAAACACUCUGCUUUCCUCAGAGUUUGCUGGCUUAAAUAUUAAUCUUAUAUUAAGAAUGCACUCCAAUUUUUGACUCACAAAUUUGUAGGAAAAAUACUUUAAUUUUGAAGAACUUUUAAUUUUCUUUUUGGUUUCUUACCCAAAGCAAGGAGGGUCCUGCCUCAGGUCUGCUUUUUCAGAGGAUCCUGCUCUGAAAAGUUACAUCCCUUUUUCAUAGAGCAAGAAGACUAUAAAGAGCCAAGUUAGGGACUUGCCAGGAGUCCUCAUUCUAACUGUGUUCUGACUACCCACGACUGUGGAAUUCUUUGUCCAGACAGCUUUAGUCCUGUUUCAGGGCCUCAUGGAAGCCAGGCCCUGCAUAUCUCUCUAAUCAAACAUCUUCCCAGAUCCACGCUCUUGACUGUGUGGACUGUGUGCCCCUCAUUUCUUCUGCAGAGGCCAGUGAGUAGUGAUUUGGAGGUAGGACAGGCACAGGUGUGCCACCUGGAAUUUCUGCCCAUGUUUGAGGGAGGCAGAACCAGGGCCUUGUGCUUCUUUGCUUAUUCUACCAGGUCAAGUCACAUGCCUCUGAGGAGUCUGGAAUUGUAAAUGGAGCUCUCGAGUCAUUAAAAGAGGUCAUGCCAAGACCAUUGGGCAGGAUCUAGUUUAUAUCCUAUUGUUUACUUUGCUAGCCUGGGCCAUAUCAACUGUUAAAUGUUUAUGUGGAUGGUGUGUAGUCUUCCAUUUGUGUCUGCUCUCAACUUCAAAUGUCAGAGGCAGAUCUUUCUUUGUAAGGAUGGAUACAUUCAGGGAAUUAGAAACAGUAAUUAUUAAAUUUGAAUCUGAAAAAUAUUAUUUUAAG